UACGAAGGGGGCUAGCGUUGUUCGGAAUUACUGGGCGUAAAGCGCACGUAGGCGGGUCGUUAAGUCAGGGGUGAAAUCCCAGAGCUCAACUCUGGAACUGCCUUUGAUACUGGCGACCUAGAGUCCGGAAGAGGUUAGUGGAAUUCCCAGUGUAGAGGUGAAAUUCGUAGAUAUUGGGAAGAACACCAGUGGCGAAGGCGGCUAACUGGUCCGGUACUGACGCUGAGGUGCAAAAGCGUGGGGAGCAAACAGG
rnacentral:rRNA from 1 species